GACGAACGCUGGCGGCGUGCUUAACACAUGCAAGUCGAACGGAAAGGCCCUGCUUUUGUGGGGUGCUCGAGUGGCGAACGGGUGAGUAACACGUGAGUAACCUGCCCUUGAUUUUGGGAUAACUUCAGGAAACUGGGGCUACUACCGGAUAGGAGCUCCUGCUGCAUGGAGGGGGUUGGAAAGUUUCGGCGGUUGGGGAUGGAUUCGCGGCUUAUCAGCUUGUUGGUGGGGUAGUGGCUUACCAAGGGUUUGACGGGUAGCCGGCCUGAGAGGGUGACCGGCCACAAUGGGACUGAGAUACGGACCAGACUCCUACGGGAGGCAGCAGUGGGAAAUAUUGCACAAUGGGCGGAAGCCUGAUGCAGCAACGCCGCGGGCGUGAUGACGGCCUUCGGGUUGUAAACCGCUUUCGCCUGUGACGAAGCGUGAGUGACGGUAAUGAGUAAAUAAGCACCGGCUAACUUCGUG
rnacentral:rRNA from 1 species